rnacentral:rRNA from 1 species
CGUGAGCGGCGGACGGGUGAGUAACGCGUGGGUAACCGUGCCUCAUACAGGGGGGUAACAGUUGGAAACGGACUGCUAAUACCGCAUAAGCGCACAGUACCGCAUGGUACGGUGUGAAAAACUCCGGUGGUAUGAGAUGGACCCGCGUCUGAUUAGGUAGUUGGUGGGGUAACGGCCUACCAAGCCGACGAUCAGUAGCCGACCUGAGAGGGUGACCGGCCACAUUGGGACUGAGACACGGCCCAA